rnacentral:misc_RNA from 1 species
CGACACCCACCAAACACACUCAUUAAGUAAGUGUGUUCGAGUGAAAGUGGCCAUCCGAAUGGGGCCCCGCCCUUCGUUGGGCGCGGGCAGAUUGGGUUGGCUGAAAUGUAGGGAAUUUGGCCGCCGUGGUAGAACAACCAGCGAUCAGGUGAUCCGGGUGCAAACCCGGAACUCAAACGUGCGCCGGUGUGUGACACCCAGUUGGUUCCGAGCUCCAAAGCAGGUCUCCCCUCCCUUCGCUCCACCGAGUGAAAGGGAAAGGGAAAAACGUCACGC